rnacentral:lncRNA from 1 species
UAGGAGACUUAGACAAUACAGACAUUACAAAUUAUUUAACAAAAAACAAUUUGUGUUAUCUUUUAAAACAAAAAAGUUAUAGCUUUCAUCGAAAGCAAAUAUACAUAAUAAAUAUAUAUAACUGUAAAUGCCGGAUCAAAACUGUAUUGUAUGCCCUUAAUAAACUAUUUUUUCUUUGAUAGUGAACAAAAUUUCAAUGAAAGUUUAUUAUACAACAGUGGCAAGUAACAACAUUGGCAAGUUAUUUACUUACUGAUUAUCUAGCAUAAAUAUCAAAAUAUACACAUGAAAGGACUUGUGUGAAACUUGUCAAAUUGUAGUACAAACUCUAAUUUGGUAUAAUUUUAAAGCAUGUAACAGUUCACAUCAAAAUGAAAUGUGUACCAAUUCAAAAAUAGAUGGGAUAAUAGCUUCAUGGUUUACUACCUUGUUUAAAAUUUUCAACUUACGGUAAUACAGGAUGCCAAAAUAGACAAAUCAGAAACGAAAGGAAAUUAAAAUUCCCCCUAUUAUUCAAUGAUAGUAAAAUUAUGAUAUAAUACAGUAAGGUGUGAUAAUAAGAAAACAAUUCACAAUUAUGGGACCUAAUAAUUAUCUUUUACGUUUUAUUUGUUUACCAUGAUAAAAUAGAUGACAUCAUCAUAUAAAUUGUAGUUCAUAUUUUCUGCAUUGACAGAUGAAUUAGUAGCUGUACAUAAUCGACAUAUAACUGAGUAUAUAAUUUUGUCAGAUAAAAAUGUAGGCACUGGUAACAACAAACAAUGAAUGACGACUAAAGCACUUAUCAUUUAAAAUCUAUAUAUAGCUAUAUAAUCUACUACACCAUACAUAUAAAUACACUGCACUUAAUUAAACAAUGUAUGUAAUACACAUAUAUUUUGUCACUGGUAUGUACAUUUUUGUAAUUAUUUAUACUAUAUCAAUCUAACCUGUUUCAGCACUAUUUUCAAACUGCAGAAACUGAUAUCAACUUUUUUA